UACCAUACCGGGGUUUUUCAACUCUGGUAAUUGGAAUGAGUACAAUCUAAAUCCCUUAACGAGGAUCAAUUGGAGGGCAAGUCUGGUGCCAGCAGCCGCGGUAAUUCCAGCUCCAAUAGCGUAUAUUUAAGUUGUUGCAGUUAAAAAGCUCGUAGUUGGAUUUCGGGCGGGGCCUGCCGGUCCGCCUUUGGUGUGCACUGGCAGGGUCCGCCUUGCUGUCGGGGACGGGUUCCUGGGCUUUACUGUCUGGGACUCGGAGUCGACGUGGUUACUUUGAGUAAAUUAGAGUGUUCAAAGCAGGCUUACGCUCUGAAUACAUUAGCAUGGAAUAACGCGAUAGGACUCUGGCCUAUCUUGUUGGUCUGUGGGACCGGAGUAAUGAUUAAGAGGGACAGUCGGGGGCAUUCGUAUUUCAUUGUCAGAGGUGAAAUUCUUGGAUUUAUGAAAGACGAACUACUG
rnacentral:rRNA from 1 species